rnacentral:rRNA from 1 species
UUUCCCCUACGGGGGGCAGCAGUAGGGAAUCUUCCACAAUGGACGAAAGUCUGAUGGAGCAACGCCGCGUGAGUGAAGAAGGGGUUCGGCUCGUAAAUCUCUGUUGGUAGUGAAGAAAGAUAGAGGUAGUAACUGGCCUUUAUUUGACGGUAAUUACUUAGAAAGUCACGGCUAACUACGUGCCAGCAGCCGCGGUAAUACGUAGGUGGCAAGCGUUGUCCGGGUUUAUUGGGCGUAAA